rnacentral:lncRNA from 1 species
AGCACAUUCCUCCUCAUUUGCCUGCUUCUCAAAUGGGCUGCUCGCCCAGUAUUCCUUGGUGGGUGCUCAAGCUGGGAACCAGAGUGUCUUCCUAAAUGUCUCCCCUUCCCCACCCCAGGGUCCCUAAGCCUGUGACAGCCUCCUCACUCAGAUCUCCUGCUUCCCUUGGGCCUCCCCCCUGGACCCCUGCCGAGCCCCCACUAGUCUCAGCCUGCAGCCCCUUCCCACCCGGUCAGGCUCCAACCUCAGGUCCUCGGGUGGAUCUUCAGAGACGGCGAACUCCUGAGCAAAGCCUCCUUCCAGGAUUCAGGGGCAAGGGAGCUGUAGCUUGGAUGGGGCUUCAGAGGUGGCCAGGCAGAUGGCCCAGUGGCCGUGUAGCCCCAGCGGAGGUGUAGUGGGCCUCACUGACCCCCACUGGCAGCAGCCUCUUGGGCAGGGGACCAGGUGUGCCCCCCAGAACUAUGAUGGCAGGGGCCAGGGGGACCCUCAUGGCCAUCUGCACCCGAUACUGGAGGCUUGGCCAGGUUGGUGGCCCUGGGGAUGGCAGCGGCCGCUUCCUUGGAGCACCUGACACCCACUGAGUAGCCCCCGGAGCCACAUAGGCCUUCGAACCUGGUCCCUGGGUCUACUGCUGCGGGGACAUCCUCUUGAGAACCUCGGCCUCAAGGGACGCCCAUGACGACACUUCUUGGCGGGUGCAGUGGGUUGGAGAGUGCCCGUCCAAAAUUCAUGCCAACCCAGCACCUCAGAACGUGACCUUAUUUGGAGGUAGGUCUUUGUAGGCGUGAGGAGGUAAGGAUCUCAAGGUGAAAUCAUCUCGGGUUUAGGCUGGACCCUAGGCCUAAUGACUGGUGUCCUUAUCAGAAGAGAGGACACAGACACAGAGAGAAGGCCACGUGGAAACGGAGGCAGAGACGGGGGUGAGGCAGCCCCUGGCUACGCAGCGCUAAGCAAGCCGGAGGCCCCCAGAAGCUGGAAGAGAGGCAAGAACAGCCUCUCCCCCGGAGUCCUCCCUCAGCAGGAGCCUCCCCUGACAACACCUU